CAACAGAAUCAGUAUGCAAUCAAGCAUGGAAUGGAUUCCAGAUAGGAAUAUAGGAUUCACCUUACACUCAGAAACUGGGGGAUAGGCCUAGUUGUUCAAAAUACACGGCGUUGCUGCAUGGACUUGAAGAGAUAGUUAUGAAUUUAGAAUAUCAUCAAGUGACUUUUAAUAAGGCACUGUUUUCAGUGGAUGAACCGACAUCAUGCAGUGUGACAGGAAAACGCCCGUGAGACCAAAGAUGGCUUGGAUAAAAGGGAAGACAAUGCAGAAGCCUCUGUACCAGAGAAAAAUCCAGAGAUGGCCCUCAAAGAAGUUAGAAACAAGAUGAGAGACCAUCUCAAGUUGUUUAGGUCUGGAGCCACCUUCCCCCACCCACGAGUCGAAGAAAUAGAUCUUUGAACCACUCCAGGUUACCCGUGACAUCAAGAUAAACAAAAUUCAACUUCAGGGACAAAAAUUGAUAAUACCUGUUUAAAAUUUUUUUUUUAGUUCACCUGGGCCGAAGGUUCAAGUGAGCUUUUCUGAUCAAAAUUUGUUCGUUGUCUGUCGUCGGCGAAAACUUUUCACAUUUUCAUCUUCUCCAGAACCACUGGGUCAAUUUCAACCAAACUAAGUGACACAAAGCACCCUUGGGUGAAAGGCUUUCAAGUUUGUUCAAAUGAAGGGCCAUGCCCCUUCAAAGGGGAGAUAAUCGCAAAAGUACGGUGGGGUCAUUCAAAAAUCUUCUCAAGAACCACUGGGACAGAGAAGCUGAAAUUUACAUGAAAGCCUCCUGACAGUACAGA